rnacentral:tRNA from 1 species
GGGUGUAUUAAGACUUAUGUUACGGCCAUAAGGUUUGAGGUUUAUAGCGUCAUACACUUU